UGCAUUACCUUAACUUAAACAACACACCCUUUAUUAUUCCUUGAGAGGCUGCCCAACCAAAAGAUGUGCAAAUGUUGAAGCUUGGGAGCUGCUCCUAUGGCGUCCGAAGCCUCUGCUUCUUCCUGCGCCAUCCAUUGUUUUACUCAACAUCAACUUCUCUUCCUAAUCAUGGUAAACCUUCUUCUUCUUCUUCUUCUUCUUCAUUCUCUACCUCAUUAGCGAAUUUCUUAGUUGAUAAUCUGGGUUUCUCCAAUCAACAAUCUCUCUCCAUUUCCGCUAAGCUCACUAAAUCAUGGAAAGCGGGAGAGACGAGCAAGGCUAUUGAUUUCAAUUUCUUUGAAAAAGUUAAUUCUGUUGUUCAAUUCUUCAAACAAAUUGGGUUUCAGCAAUCUCAUAUUCAGAAAAUCAUUAGUCGUGAACCCCGGGUUUUAGUUUGUAGGGUUCAUAAAACCCUAAAACCUAAAAUUCAGCUUUUUAAUGAUCUGGGUAUGUCUGAGUCUGAUGUAAUUCAAACUAUUGUUAGAAAUCCUAUGAUAUUGCGCCAACGUUGGGGUCCUGCAAUUCAUGCUCUUAAGAAUGUUUUGGGUAGUGAUGAGAAUGUUGUUACAAUUCUCAAGAAAUCAACUCGGAACCUUAACUGCACUGCUAGUUAUUUGAUUCCCAAUGUUGAACUAUUGCAAAAGUAUUGUGGCAUUUCUAGUGAUAAAAUCCAGAAACACAUUCUUCGGCAGCCUAAUUCUUUUAUAGUGAAAACUGAUUUACUUCGAGAUACCUUAAUUAAGGUGGAACUGCAGUUAGGGAUUCCUCGAGACUCUUCAAUGUUCUUGUAUGGUGUCCAUAUUUGGCUUUUCUGUGGUGAGAAGAAUAUCAAGGAUAAAUGUAAAGUAUUUAUGAGUUUUGGAUGGACUCAAUCUGAUGUUAUGAAAUUGAUCAGGGGAAAUCCUAUGUGUUUCACUAGUUCAGAGGCGAGUAUCAAGGAAAGACUUGGCUAUCUGAUGAACCAACUGGGUUACAAGCCUGAUUAUUUAGCAAUGCGGGCUAAUUUCUUCACGUGUAGCAUGAAGAAGAGAUUAUUGCCAAGGCAUCAAGUCUUACAGAUUUUGAAGGAGAAAGGACUUUUAAGGAUGGAUUAUGUUUUUUCUUCUGCUGUUUCCUUGUCUGAGUCUGUGUUCUUGAGAAGGUUUGUUCUGCCAUUUGAGGAAGUCCAUGAAGUUUAUGCUCAACUGACAGGUUCUACUGUGGAGUCGCUCAAUGUAAGAAGAUGCAAAAGCCAAUCUUAAAGGUGUCAUCAAAUUCUAAUGCUGCUUGAUGUUAGUCAGUGCAUAAGUAAAUGAUUACUAUGGUCUGUGGACUGUGAUGGAGUGAUGGACAUUUCUUGGUGGAAGUUGGUGUCGAUUUAUAAUUAAGACGAGGUACGUAUCUCUCAUUCACUGCUCUCUUUUCCCUCCUACCAGUAUUAUAAAUUAUAGCGAAAAACUUUGCACUAGUUGCAGUACUGUGAUGUUACAAGAAAGAGUAGUUUUCUUCUUUAUGCUUUUGGGAUAUUAAAAUGCAAUUCAAUUUUUGAAAGUCAGGUUAGCAAAUUUUGAAACUGCUGACAAUGGCAAUAAUCUUGCAAAACCUAGACCACUUCUGUUCUUUUUUCUAGUGACAACACCUUUGGCUUCAUGCUAGUAUUGAAAUUCUGUGAGCAGAAUUAAUUUAGUAUUUUUGACAAUUGGAUAACAUUGAAGGCUGCAGUACGGUGUCUUCUUCUGCAUAAUGAUUUUGUGACCGAUUCUGUUUUACUUCCUAUCUAUGUCUUAGAGUUUCUGGUAGCACCGUAGCAGCACCUCAAUCAUUAUAAGUAGGCUUUUGAAGACUUAAAAACAAUGUUGGUACCAUAUAGAUGCUGUAUAGUUCUAUUGAUUGCAGAGUUUAUCUUGGGAUUGGUAUUAGUCCCAAGUAACUAUUGUGUAAAUAGAUUCUACUUAUGAUUGUGAAGGAGGUAUGCCUUAUGAUUACGACUAUGGCUUGCUGUCAAAUUGGUGGAAUAUGCUGCCUUUAUGGCUAUCCCAGCCGAUAAAGAUGACGAAAUCAGUUCAUUGACAGGUUGAUAAGAUGGAUCACAACUCUGUUUCUCCUGUUUUUGCUGAUUUGAAAUUUGUUGUGGUAAUAUGAAUUUAGAUGUUUAUUUGCAUAAAUUUUCUGAGAACACAGGAUAAGAUAAUUUAGCUAAAGUUGAGGUGGAAGAUAUUGAUAAGGAAGUAAACUCUACUGUUAUUUGCUACUUCCUUGAGGCUAAUCCUCUAAAUGUGUUUGAAAAAUUACUUUUAAAUGCAUAUGGGUAGAUGGGGAGUUGCAAUCAUUUACUUGUUUCUUGUUGGCAUAAUCAUUUACUUGGUUGCAAAAGGACAAGGGUUCAAGGAUUGGUAGGUCAAGAAAGGAAAUUGACCAAAGAUGGGGAGUUGCAAUCUUGGCAACUUUCUUCUUUCAAGAGAGAAUUAAUAUUUUUUAUGAAUUAAAUCUUCAAUAUAUGUCUCCAUUUGGUUGUUGGGAAUUGUAUGUUAUUGAUGAAGAAAAUAGUUAAAAAGGCUGGUUUUUUAGAUGAUAAAAAUGAUUUUAGUUGUUCAAUUAAUCUGUGUGGCAUUGAGUUUUAUGCUAGUCUUGCUUCUGUUUAUCAAUUGGCUGAAAUGCAUGCUUAAGCUUAAUUAUGCUUCUAAUCAAGAAGCUCCUUGCUAAGGCUGCUAUUUGAGAAAAUUAAGGUAUCAAUUUUGUUAGUUUUGAUAUUAGCCAUUUAGGAGAGUAAAUUAUUUGAAAUGAUGUUAUGUUGGUGUGGAAAAGAGAAGAGAUUCAUUUAAAUCUAUUUAGAAGUUAAUUAUGCCGAAAUAAUUGCUAGGGUCACAAAUGUUGAUAGAAUUAUUUUUUAAUUGGUGUGAUGUUUUAAACAUUUUUAUUUAAUUUAUUUAUUAUUUUAGAUUUUUAUUUAACCUGAAGCUUUCCAUUUUCCCCUAGUAUUUUUUGUUGCUUAGCUUAAUUUUGUGAAAUUGAUGAAUUUGGGGCUUCUCUAUUGUAUUAUAUUGUUGUUUAGCCUGAAGCUUUCUGUUUUCCCUACGAUUCCUCUAAUAAUUAACCUGAAGCUUUCUGUUUUUCCCAUAAGAUUUAUGUAGGAGAUUGAAGUAGGAAUGUGGCAAAGAAAGUAUCUGUUUGGGAACGCAACACAUUCUGGAAAAGAGGGAAGGUGUGAUCAAUGUGCUCGAUAGGAUCAGUAUACGUGUUUGUGUUGUCUAAAGGUGUGCUCAAUGUGCUUGAUAUGUUCCUUUCUGCUGUCUAGAUACCAAUUGGGUUGCAUCAUCAAGAUAUGAAAGUGUAUUACAAAGAUGAGGAAAGAGAUUCAAAGGAUUUUAUUGGAAAUUUUUAGUGUGAAAGAUAAAUUGAAAAUCGUACUGGUGGAGGAUUCGCUGAAGACAGGAAAAAAAGUACGUUGAAAUGAGGUAGAAUUCCAAGAUGGAGAAAGCAGCAAAGUCUAUUUCAAAGAUCAGUUUGCAUGCAGACGGAGUUGGUGUUCAAAUAAUUAUAUUAAUUUUUGUGUUUGAUUUCUUGAAAUCAUUUAAAGUUGAGAGAUUAGGAAGUAUGAUUGUCUGACAAAUUAGCUGAAUUUUGGGAGUUAUUAUGUUUGAAUCAGAAGUGUUAUAGAGGAUGUUUGUAUGACCUCUAAACUGAGGUAAUUGGUGAUAUAUAUCUAUAUGUUUUUAAUUUGAAGUUGUAAUUGACUGGUAUCAGCUCUUGAAUCAGUAAUCUUGAAAUGGGAAAGAGUAGCAGAGAGUCAGAGAAUGAUGUUGUAAA